GAUGAACGCUGGCGGCGUGCCUAAUACAUGCAAGUCGAGCGAACAGAUGAGGAGCUUGCUCCUCUGACGUUAGCGGCGGACGGGUGAGUAACACGUGGAUAACCUACCUAUAAGACUGGGAUAACUUCGGGAAACCGGAGCUAAUACCGGAUAAUAUAUUGAACCGCAUGGUUCAAUAGUGAAAGACGGUUUUGCUGUCACUUAUAGAUGGAUCCGCGCCGCAUUAGCUAGUUGGUAAGGUAACGGCUUAUCAAGGCAACGAUGCGUAGCCGACCUGAGAGAGGGGUAGGCCACACUGGAGCUUAGCCACGGUCCAGACGCCUACGGGAGGCAGCAGUAGGCAAUCUUCCGCAAUGGGCGAAAGCCUGACAGAGCAACGCCGCGUGAGUGAUGAAGGUCUUCGGAUCGUAAAACUCUGUUAUUAGGGAAGAACAAAUGUGUAAGUAACUAUGCACGUCUUGACGGUACCUAAUCAGAAAGCCACGGCUAACUACGUG
rnacentral:rRNA from 1 species